rnacentral:rRNA from 1 species
GGGGGGGGGGGGGGGGGGGGGGGGGGGGGGGGGGGCGGGCGGGAGCGCGGGCUUCGGCCUGGCGGCGGGUGGCGGGCGGGUGAGUAAUGCGUCGGAACGUGCCCGGGAGUGGGGGAUCGCCCGGCGACAGCCGGGGUAAUACCGCAUACGACCGUAGGGUGAAAGCGGGGGACCGAAAGGCCUCCCGCGAUUGGAGCUGCCGAUGUCGGAUUAGCUAGUUGGUGGGGUAAAGGCUUACCAAGGCGACGAUCCGUAGCUGGUCUUAGAGGACGACCAGCCACACUGGGACUGAGACACGGCCCAGACUCCGACGGGAGGCAGCAGUGGGGAAUUUUGGACAAUGGGGGCAACCCUGAUCCAGCCAUGCCGCGUGCGGGAAGAAGGCCUUCGGGUUGUAAACCGCUUUUGUUCGGGAAGAAAUCCUCUGGGCUAAUACCCCGGGGGGAUGACGGUACCGGAAGAAUAAGCACCGGCUAACUACGUG